rnacentral:rRNA from 1 species
UGAGGAAUAUUGGACAAUGGAUGGAAAUCUGAUCCAGCCAUGCCGCGUGCAGGAAGACUGCCCUAUGGGUUGUAAACUGCUUUUGUACGGGAGCAAUAAGACCUACGUGUAGGUUGAUGAGAGUACCGUACGAAUAAGCAUCGGCUAACUCCGUGCCAGCAGCCGCGGUAAUACGGAGGAUGCAAGCGUUAUCCGGAUUUAUUGGGUUUAAAGGGUGCGUAGGCUGUCAUAUAAGUCAGCGGUGAAAUGCCAGUGCUCAACACUGGAGCUGCCGUUGAUACUGUAUGGCUGGAAUAUGGUUGCUGUUGGCGGAAUGUGUAGUGUAGCGGUGAAAUGCAUAGAUAUUACACAGAACACCGAUUGCGAAGGCAGCUGACAAAACCAUUAUUGACGCUGAUGC